UGAAUAUAGGACGUCCAACUUAACUUGGAGUCCGAACUCUCACUUUCUAACCCUGUGCACUUGUUUGGGAUAGUAACUCUCGCAAGAGAGCGAACUCCUAUUCACUUAUAAACACAAAGUCUAUGAAUGUAUUAAAUUUUAUAACAAAAUAAAACUUUCAACAACGGAUCUCUUGGCUCUCGCAUCGAUGAAGAACGCAGCGAAAUGCGAUAAGUAAUGUGAAUUGCAGAAUUCAGUGAAUCAUCGAAUCUUUGAACGCACCUUGCGCUCCAUGGUAUUCCGUGGAGCAUGCCUGUUUGAGUGUCAUGAAUACUUCAACCCUCCUCUUUCUUAAUGAUUGAAGAGGUGUUUGGUUUCUGAGCGCUGCUGGCCUUUACGGUCUAGCUCGUUCGUAAUGCAUUAGCAUCCGCAAUCGAACUUCGGAUUGACUUGGCGUAAUAGACUAUUCGCUGAGGAAUUCUAGUCUUCGGAUUAGAGCCGGGUUGGGUUAAAGGAAGCUUCUAAUCAGAAUGUCUACAUUUUAAGAUUAGAUCUCAAAUCAGGUAGGACUACCCGCUGAACUUAAGCAUAUCAAUAAGCGGAGGAAAAGAAACUAACAAGGAUUCCCCUAGUAGCGGCGAGCGAAGCGGGAAGAGCUCAAAUUUAUAAUCUGGCACCUUCGGUGUCCGAGUUGUAAUCUCUAGAAAUGUUUUCCGCGUUGGACCGCACACAAGUCUGUUGGAAUACAGCGGCAUAGUGGUGAGACCCCCGUAUAUGGUGCGGACGCCCAGCGCUUUGUGAUACAUUUUCGAAGAGUCGAGUUGUUUGGGAAUGCAGCUCAAAUUGGGUGGUAAAUUCCAUCUAAAGCUAAAUAUUGGCGAGAGACCGAUAGCGAACAAGUACCGUGAGGGAAAGAUGAAAAGCACUUUGGAAAGAGAGUUAACAGUACGUGAAAUUGUUGGAAGGGAAACGCUUGAAGUCAGACUUGCUUGCCGAGCAAUCGGUUUGCAGGCCAGCAUCAGUUUUCCGGGAUGGAUAAUGGUAGAGAGAAGGUAGCAGUUUCGGCUGUGUUAUAGCUCUCUGCUGGAUACAUCUUGGGGGACUGAGGAACGCAGUGUGCCUUUGGCGGGGGUUUCGACCUC
rnacentral:rRNA from 1 species